ensembl:lncRNA
AUGUGCCAGAACAGUUCCAUCUUUUUCCACAGUAUUUGAGGUGAUUUACUGAGUAAGAUCUAAGCUGAGUCACCGAUUGUCGGAAAAGGAGAAAGUCCUUAUGGACCAUGGAUGACUGGUGUUCCCCGUACAGUACAUUCAGCGUACAGCAGCAACAAUACGCCUUUCAUUAGGCGGACCAGGAGAGCUCUGCAUCCUGCAUAAUGGUUUCCUCCUCUGAUGCUGGGAUUGAUGCGAUGGCAAUUUCUAGCAUGGAAAAGGCACAGAGCAGCACACUGAUGGGGAUUAUCCAGCACCUCAGUGCUCUUCUUUCCCAGCUACUUUGCCCCCCUUUCCUUGGGAGCAGCCUGGGGCAGCGUGGAGAGAAGGAGUCCAUCACUGUCCUCUUCAGCGUGCAGCUGCCAUCCCAGAGGGAGCCAGGGAUGGAGAAGGACCAGGCAGCUAUGAGCCAGCAGGCAGUGAGAGCAUCAUAUGGCCAGUGUUCCUCUGCAGGCAGCGUACGCAAUGGAAGAGAAGCAAACUGCAAGAGAGAAUCCUGUUCCUGCUCUCACGUUCACACCUUAUGAGUUGGUGCAUAUCGUGGGUGAGGUGGAGCAAGUGUGUAAGAGUGUAUCUUUGACAACAGUAAGAAAACAUAAAAAUAAGCACAGGUUUUGUUUUCAGACUAUCUUCAGCCACAUGUAGUGUACAGUUCCUGGAAGGAAAAACACUUGGAUAUACACGGUGUGUACACAGGAACAAAAAAAUAAUGCCAGUAAUAAUGUCAUAUUGCGCAGGCGUUCCUGCACUCGCGGCAGCAGCAUUGUGCAGGACUGACCCAAAAUGUGUGUUCCUUCCCCAUGAGGGCAGCUGUGUGCGUAUAGCAGGGCCAUGCAAGCGUCAUCUGCUUUUUGCGUCUGUGUUCGCUGAGUUUUUCUCUGUUAACACAAAGUCGGAUGAGCCCCAGCUUCCCCCUUCCAACAUCCUUUUAUUGCUUUUAGAGUGACUUUGAGACGGGGUGGAAAAAGAAAUCUGACAGCGGUAAGUUCCAAGGUCAGUGCUGCUCACCCGUCUCUGUCAUCCCACUGAGCUCAUAAAUUGGUGUUAACGCCUCCUGGAAAAAAAAAAAAAAGACAUAUAAAAAGAGAACCUUGUUCACACUUGGAGGCAUACCCGUCACUAGGGCAGACUCUGUGAAGCGUGACUACAGCAGGACUGUGAGUGUAGACAAAAUCCAAAGCCCAUUCAGUCCAGCUGUGAUCCCCAGCCCCAGCAAGCAUCCAUCCCAGCACCCAGAGCAACCAGGAAAGAGCUGCCUUUUUAGGCAAACUGUUUUCUUUUUAAACUCCAUAAAGCACCCGUAUAUUUUUGUUCCCCUUUUAUUAGAAAUCCUCUUUUGCAGAUGGAUCGUUUUUGCUCGUUCUUCAAAUAGCUGCUUAUAACAGGGUUUCAUGGCGGGGAAAGUACAAAUAACUUAGGACCUUUUGAGAUGCACCCCUAGCCCCCUCCACUAACAAUUCUCUUUAGUGAGAUUCAUAAAAUCUAUUACUGUUUCUGCAGAUUGGCCACGGUGUGACUUUGGAGAUUUUUUUUUCUGUGUUGACACUGUUGCUUCAUUGUUAUUCUUUCUGUACUGGUGGAACAAAAUGAAAAAUUCAUUAAAAACAGAGAAAAAAGAGAAGGAAAGAAAAGCACUGGCAUUUCUCUAUCUCCCAGCACAAGAAUCAAAUGUAGGAGAUUGAAAUCAGGGCCAUGGGAAGAAAGGGGUGAGAGGGUUAAAUGUCUGAAAGGUUCAUAGCCACACACUCAGUGACCUGGGCAAGCAAUCCAUGCUGAUAAACAGGAACAGUCACCUCCUUUCCAGGGUACCACUGUCCAACUAGGAGCUGAAGAAGGGUCUCACAGGAGGACUUGCUUCUUUCAGCGGCUUUCUGCAGGCUGUGACCCCUUAGAGGAGCUCCAGCAGCCAUGCAGCUCGUACCAGAUCCACAGCUCUGGAGCUCAGAUGUCCCCCAUCCACCCCUCCUGGCCAUGCGGGGAGCAGACACGUACGAGGAGCAUCAUCUGCUGUUCCUUAUGGGAUCCCACCCCAUGCCACGGGUGCCAUUCACCUUGGGGCCAGCGAUGAUUUUGACACGGUCUCCCACAGCGUCCUGGCAUGCAAGCUGGGGCUGGAUGGAGGGCUUUGUACAGCACUGAAAAACGAGCUGAGUGCUUGGGCUCCAAAGGGGUUGGGGUGGGUUGUACCCUGCCUGGAGGCCAGUUACAAGGAGUGUUUCUCAGCGGUCUUCCCAGGGACGUGUCCUAACAGCCCUAGCGAUAACCUAAGGAGGAGAUAAAAUGCAACCGCAGGGUUGCAGGGAAUACCAAAGAGGCGUGUGCAGGUGCUCGAGAGCAUGGCUGCCACUGAGCAAGGUGUGCGUGGGCUGGAGGAACGGGGAUCUCCUCGGCACGUACCAGCCACGUCUGGCACAGCUCGUGCCACAAGGACCCACCGGGGCGCGAGACAUGGUGCUAAACUGGAGUAAGUCCAGAGACCCCCCCAGGAGAGACCUCCAGAGUCCCUUCCAACCUGAACUCUCCUGGAGUUCUGUGGAUCCUCAAUCCUCUUCCCAAAUAUCUGCUGCGGGUUUGAUUUACAGUGCCAUAGCUUUUUUUCUUCUUUUUUUUUCUCAUGAGAGGCCUCAAUUUCUGUAAUUACCCCUACGUUACUUUUCCACCCCAUGACAGGGACAGCCCCCCAGACAAGGACCUAAAUCUUUUGAAACAAUAAAAACGACAAUCCAAAACA